rnacentral:rRNA from 1 species
CACGUAGGGCGCAAGCGUUGUCCGGAAUUAUUGGGCGUAAAGAGCUCGUAGGCGGUCUGUUACGUCUGCUGUGAAAACCCGGGGCUUAACCCUGGGCUUGCAGUGGAUACGGGCAGACUAGAGGCAGGUAGGGGAGAAUGGAAUUCCCGGUGUAGCGGUGAAAUGCGCAGAUAUCGGGAGGAACACCGGUGGCGAAGGCGGUUCUCUGGGCCUGACCUGACGCUGAGAAGCGAAAGCGUGGGGAGCGAACAGG